rnacentral:rRNA from 1 species
UGCCAGCCGCCGCGGUAAUACGGAGGGUGCAAGCGUUGUUCGGAUUUAUUGGGCGUAAAGCGAGUGUAGGCGGUUUGACAAGUCGGGUGUGAAAUCCCAGGGCCCAACCCUGGAACUGCACCCGAUACUGUUAAACUAGAGGUUGAUAGAGGGUAGUGGAAUUCCUAGUGUAGAGCUGAUAUUCGUAAAUAUUAGGAGGACCUCCAGAGGCGAAGGCGACUACCUGGAUCAAUGCAGACACUGAGGUACGAAAGCGUGGGGAGCAAACAGGAUUAGAUA